CAGCCGUAAACGAUGCGCGUUAGGUGUAUCGACGACCACGAGUCGUCGAGGUGCCGAAGGGAAACCGUGAAACGUGCCGCCUGGGAAGUACGGUCGCAAGGCUGAAACUUAAAGGAAUUGGCGGGGGAGCACCACAACAGGUGGAGCCUGCGGUUUAAUUGGACUCAACGCCGGAAAUCUCACCGGAUAAGACAGCAGAAUGAUUGCCGGGCUGAAGACCCUGCAUGACUAGCUGAGAGGUGGUGCAUGGCGUCAGUGACU
rnacentral:rRNA from 1 species